rnacentral:lncRNA from 1 species
CCAUGUGGGACACUUCAAAUCUGUUGCCCAAGGAAGUUCUUCCGAAGUCAUAUCUGGACAGGAUCAACACAACACCUCAGUGUGAAUCAUUCAUGCAUCUCCAUUUGGGUUUUGAUGCAGAGGUGAGGAUAUAAAUUUUUUAUUUUUCAAAUUCUAUUUUUAUUCAUAUUUCCAUUCUUUUCUAGUUUACAGCUUUAAGCCGCAAUACUGAUAUCGUCAUCUUUCAUCUUCCGUUUUCAAAUUGCUUUACUGAUCAGUGUAUAAAAAAAGACUUGGGGAUUCAUCACAUCGUUGUUAAUGAUUGGAGUGGAGGAGUCGAUGCAGAUCAAAAUGUUGUCUUGAUAUCU